rnacentral:rRNA from 1 species
GACGAACGCUGGCGGCGUGCCUAAUACAUGCAAGUUGAGCGCUGAAGGUUGGUACUUGUACCAACUGGAUGAGCAGCGAACGGGUGAGUAACGCGUGGGGAAUCUGCCUUUGAGCGGGGGACAACAUUUGGAAACGAAUGCUAAUACCGCAUAAAAACUUUAAACACAAGUUUUAAGUUUGAAAGAUGCAAUUGCAUCACUCAAAGAUGAUCCCGCGUUGUAUUAGCUAGUUGGUGAGGUAAAGGCUCACCAAGGCGAUGAUACAUAGCCGACCUGAGAGGGUGAUCGGCCACAUUGGGACUGAGACACGGCCCAAACUCCUACGGGGGGCAGCAGUAGGGAAUCUUCGGCAAUGGACGAAAGUCUGACCGAGCAACGCCGCGUGAGUGAAGAAGGUUGUCGGAUCGUAAAACUCUGUUGGUAGAGAAGAACGUUGGUGAGAGUGGAAAGCUCAUCAAGUGACGGUAACUACCCAGAAAGGGACGGCUAACUACGUG